CGUGUAGGCGGUUUGGCAAGUCAGAGGUGAAAUGCCCCGGCUCAACCGGGGACCUGCCCUUGAAACUGCCGAACUUGAGGCCGUGAGAGGAGACUGGAAUUCCUAGUGUAGCGGUGAAAUGCAUAGAUAUUAGGAAGAACACCAGUGGCGAAGGCGAGUCUCUGGCACGGUUCUGACGCUGAUGCGCGAAAGCUAGGGGAGCGAACG
rnacentral:rRNA from 1 species